AUUGUUUCUCCGCAUUUCAAUCAGGAUCAAGUGUAGUAUCUAUUCUAAUCAAUUUGAUUUGUUCUUUAAACGGGAGCGUUAUAUCGAGUAGAUUUUUUUUUAAAGUAAGGAGCUGGGAUAGGAGUUUGCUCUUUCGGCUCCAUAUACUAAUCUGAUAUUGUAGCAUGUCGUAUGGUCUAGGAAAUAAGUU